AUUGAACGCUGGCGGCAGGCCUAACACAUGCAAGUCGAUCGAGCGGCGGACGGGUGCGUACUGUCUGGGAAACUGCCUGAUGGAGGGGGAUCACUACUGGAAACGGUAGCUAAUACCGCAUACCAUCAGAUGUGCCCAGAUGGGAUUAGCUAGUAGUGUGGGUAACGGCUCACCUAGGCGACGAUCCCUAGCUGGUCUGAGAGGAUGACCAGCCACACUGGAACUGAGACACGGUCCAGACUCCUACGGGAGGCAGCAGUGGGGAAUAUUGCACAAUGGGCGCAAGCCUGAUGCAGCCAUGCCGCGUGUGUGAAGAAGGCCUUCGGGUUGUAAAGCACGUUCAGCGGGGAGGCGUUACCCGCAGAAGAAGCACCGGCUAACUCCGUGCCAGCAGCCGCGGUAAUUC
rnacentral:rRNA from 1 species